AGUGGCGAACGGGUGAGUAAUAUAUCGGAACGUACCCUAGAGUGGGGGAUAACGUAGCGAAAGUUACGCUAAUACCGCAUACGAUCUAAGGAUGAAAGUGGGGGAUCGCAAGACCUCAUGCUCGUGGAGCGGCCGAUAUCUGAUUAGCUAGUUGGUAGGGUAAAAGCCUACCAAGGCAUCGAUCAGUAGCUGGUCUGAGAGGACGACCAGCCACACUGGAACUGAGACACGGUCCAGACUCCUACGGGAGGCAGCAGUGGGGAAUUUUGGACAAUGGGCGAAAGCCUGAUCCAGCAAUGCCGCGUGAGUGAAGAAGGCCUUCGGGUUGUAAAGCUCUUUUGUCAGGGAAGAAACGGUGAGAGCUAAUAUCUUUUGCUAAUGACGGUACCUGAAGAAUAAGCACCGGCUAACUACGUGCCAGCAGCCGCGGUAAUACGUAGGGUGCAAGCGUUAAUCGGAAUUACUGGGCGUAAAGCGUGCGCAGGCGGUUUUGUAAGUCUGAUGUG
rnacentral:rRNA from 1 species